UGAGAUUAAUUCUGUUUAAACGUUCAGCAAAGUGAGAUUAAUCCUGUCUGACCACAGAUGGUCUCCCAACCAGUCAGGAGGCCCAAGUUUGCUACCCUGCAGCCCAGCUUUAUGGACGCUCUCAGAAAUACUAUUCUCCCAACAGCCCCCAAGCUUCCUGAGAAGAGGAGCAUAGAUAGGAACCUGUUGAAGCUCCGACUCAUGCACAACCUCUCUCUCACUCACAUGGCCUUCUCUCAAAGACUGUUGGGGAAAGGUGGACCUAUUUUGGAGGAUGGAUAUCAAAUGAGACAUCUGAGUGAUUACAUGUUCCCACAUAGUAAUGACUUCAUGGAAGCUGAUCAAACCACCAGAAAAACUCUCCUCUCUUCUUUGUCGCAAAGCCUCAGCAACAGGACCACAUC